AGCAGCCGCGGUAAUUCCAGCUCCAAUAGCGUAUAUUAAAGUUGUUGCAGUUAAAAAGCUCGUAGUUGAAUUUCGGGACUAAUAUGUCGGUCGUGCCUCGGUACGUACUGGCUUAUUGGUUUCUCCUUUCUGAAGAACCAUGAUGUCAUUUAUUUGGUGUCGUGGGGAAUCAGGACUGUUACUUUGAAAAAAUUAGAGUGUUUAAAGCAGGCUCACGCUUGAAUACAUUAGCAUGGAAUAAUGAAAUAGGACGUUUGAUUCUAUUUUGUUGGUUUCUAGGAUCGACGUAAUGAUUAAUAGGGAUAGUUGGGGGCAUUAGUAUUCAAUUGUCAGAGGUGAAAUUCUUGGAUUUAUUGAAGACUAACUACUGCGAAAGCAUUUGCCAAGGAUGUUUUCAUUAAUCAAGAACGAAAGUUAGGGGAUCGAAGACGAUCAGAUACCGUCGUAGUCUUAACCAUAAACUAUGCCGACUAGGGAUCGGAUGAUGUUAAUUUUUUAAUGACUCA
rnacentral:rRNA from 1 species